rnacentral:rRNA from 1 species
ACGCUGGCGGCGUGCUUAACACAUGCAAGUCGAACGGGAGUAUUGAAGAAGCUUGCUUUAGAGAUACUUUAGUGGCGGACGGGUGAGUAACGCGUGAGGAGCUGUCCUAUGCAGGGGGACAACAGCUGGAAACGGCUGCUAAUACCCCAUAAGCCGAGAGGUAAAAGGAUCAAUCCGGCAGAGGAGGUACUCGCGUCCUAUCAGCUAGUAGGUGAGGUAACGGCUCACCUAGGCGAAGACGGGUAGCCGGCCUGAGAGGGCGAACGGCCACACUGGAACUGAGAUACGGUCCAGACUCCUACGGGAGGCAGCAGUGGGGAAUAUUGGGCAAUGGGGGAAACCCUGACCCAGCGACGCCGCGUGGGUGAAGAAAUCCUUCGGGAUGUAAAGCCCUGUUGUAUGGGAAGAGCGGAAGACGGUACCAUACGAGGAAGCCCCGGCAAACUACGUGCCAGCCGCUGC